UACGUAGGGUGCGAGCGUUGUCCGGAAUUAUUGGGCGUAAAGAGCUCGUAGGCGGUGUGUCACGUCGAUCGUGAAAACUUGGGGCUUAACCCUGAGCUUGCGGUCGAUACGGGCAUCACUGGAGUUCGGCAGGGGAGACUGGAAUUCCUGGUGUAGCGGUGAAAUGCGCAGAUAUCAGGAGGAACACCGGUGGCGAAGGCGGGUCUCUGGGCAACAACUGACGCUGAGGAGCGAAAGCGUGGGGAGCGAACAGG
rnacentral:rRNA from 1 species